rnacentral:lncRNA from 1 species
UGAUAAACUUGUUACACCUAAGAUGGGAACUGUGUCAAGGAGAAUUUACCUAUAGUCUUAUCAGAGCAAACAGAUAUUCUAGAGUCAGAGCUUCUAGAUUAAGCACAAGAUGAAAGAUUCCGUCUCAAAAAAGAAAAAAAAAAAAAAGAAAAAAAUGGUACAAUUCUAUCCAGUAACAAAUAUUAUUGACCAAGUACUUUCUUGUGUUCUGCCAUCUCAUGUGGAUUUGUGAAUUGUAA